GCCACAAAGCUAAGGCAGGGCCCUUGCUGGCACACCUGCUGCUUCGUUGAAGGAUCACUGAAAACUCAACCAGGAGCCCUCCCUCUCCUGUUUUCUGAUGAGGAAAUGGGGACUUCAAGAGGAUAAGUUACUUGCCCAAGCUGGCAGAAAUGGGUUGCUUCUGUUGCUUUUGGCGACCUGUUUUUACCUUUUGAAAAAUGGUGAGGUAUUUAAAAGAAAAUGUGGUUAUACAGGUCUUUUGGGCUCUGACUGGGAAUCUGGAAUCUUGACUCUCAAUCUUCUAAAUGUAUCCUAAUGAGAGCUACCAGAGCACAGACAGCCCAGCCACAGAUCCAUGGGCCAAUGGGAUUCAAAGAAUCAAUCACAAUCAUUCUUGUGAACGAUGGAGUUUUUUCAUUGGCUGGUUGCAUUUAUAGGGAUUACAUUUUGCCAAGGCUGCAUUUGCUGUGUAUGUAGAAUUCUGUGCAUUACUCAGAACUUUCUGGACACUUAUAACACUGAAGUCCUGUGGCUAUAAAUACAAUCAGAGGUGUCUGAAGAAGGAACAUUAAUUUCACAGGAAUGUGGACACAGCCACAAGCCUGUCACUUCAGGUAGCCCACAAAAAAUGAAGCACCAGGGUCUGCUUCUUGGGGAGCCCAAGCUAACAAAAUAAAACCAUCAACUCUCAAGUAUUAUUAAUGAAAUUGUUUUGUGAACACCUAACUUUCCAUCUUCUCCCGGCUUCUGUUCAGAAAGGAGGAGCUGGCAGUCACCUGUGAUGCAGUG